AGAUGAAGUCUUUCUGAUCNUGGUGGGGUGCNGCCGUCUUAUUGGGGAGUGAUUGCUGUUAAUCCGAUAACGAACGAGNUCUACCUNCUAAUAGGCGCCGANNUNCGUCUUCGNUACUUCUUAUAGGACAGACGGCGUCUAGCCGUAUGAAAUUGAGCAAUAACAGGUCUGUUGAUG
rnacentral:rRNA from 1 species